CAGCAGUGGGGAAUUUUGGACAAUGGGCGAAAGCCUGAUCCAGCAAUGCCGCGUGUGUGAAGAAGGCCUUCGGGUUGUAAAGCACUUUUGUCCGGAAAGAAAUCCUUGGCUCUAAUACAGUCGGGGGAUGACGGUACCGGAAGAAUAAGCACCGGCUAACUACGUGCCAGCAGCCGCGGUAAUACGUAGGGUGCGAGCGUUAAUCGGAAUUACUGGGCGUAAAGCGUGCGCAGGCGGUUUGCUAAGACCGAUGUGAAAUCCCCGGGCUCAACCUGGGAACUGCAUUGGUGACUGGCAGGCUAGAGUAUGGCAGAGGGGGGUAGAAUUCCACGUGUAGCAGUGAAAUGCGUAGAGAUGUGGAGGAAUACCGAUGGCGAAGGCAGCCCCCUGGGCCAAUACUGACGCUCAUGCACGAAAGCGUGGGGAGCAAACAGGAUUAGAUACCCUGGUAGUCCACGCCCUAAACGAUGUCAACUAGUUGUUGGGGAUUCAUUUCCUUAGUAAGGUAGCUAACGCGUGAAGUUGACCGCCUGGGGAGUACGGUCGCAAGAUUAAAACUCAAAGGAAUUGACGGGGACCCGCACAAGCGGUGGAUGAUGUGGAUUAAUUCGAUGCAACGCGAAAAACCUUACCUACCCUUGACAUGGUCGGAAUCCCGCUGAGAGGUGGGAGUGCUCGAAAGAGAACCGGCGCACAGGUGCUGCAUGGCGGUCGUCAGCUCGUGUCGUGAGAUGUUGGGUUAAGUCCCGCAACGAGCGCAACCCUUGUCCUUAGUUGCUACGCAAGAGCACUCUAAGGAGACUGCCGGUGACAAACCGGAGGAAGGUGGGGAUGACGUCAAGUCCUCAUGGCCCUUAUGGGUAGGGCUUCACACGUCAUACAAUGGUCGGAACAGAGGGUUGCCAACCCGCGAGGGGGAGCUAAUCCCAGAAAACCGAUCGUAGUCCGGAUUGCACUCUGCAACUCGAGUGCAUGAAGCUGGAAUCGCUAGUAAUCGCGGAUCAGCAUGCCGCGGUGAAUACGUUCCCGGGUCUUGUACACACCGCCCGUCACACCAUGGGAGUGGGUUUUACCAGAAGUGGCUAGUCUAACCGCAAGGAG
rnacentral:rRNA from 1 species